rnacentral:rRNA from 1 species
UACGUAGGGGGCAAGCGUUGUCCGGAAUCAUUGGGCGUAAAGAGCGUGUAGGCGGCUUGGUAAGUCCGCUGUGAAAGUCCAGGGCUCAACCCUGGAAUGCCGGUGGAAACUGUCAAGCUUGAGUCCGGAAGAGGCGAGUGGAAUUCCUGGUGUAGCGGUGAAAUGCGUAGAUAUCGGGAGGAACACCAGUGGCGAAGGCGGCCUUCUGGACCAGUACUGACGCUCAUGCACGAAAGCGUGGGGAGCAAACAGG